GGUCCGAUGGUGUAGCUGGUUAUCACACUCGCUUCACACGCGAGAGGUCAUGAGUUCGACCCUCAUUCGGAUCA
rnacentral:tRNA from 1 species